UACGGAGGGUGCAAGCGUUAUCCGGAUUUACUGGGUUUAAAGGGUGCGUAGGAGGGCAGGUAAGUCAGUGGUGAAAUCUCCGAGCUUAACUCGGAAACUGCCAUUGAUACUAUUUAUCUUGAAUACUUUGGAGGUAAGCGGAAUAUGUCAUGUAGCGGUGAAAUGCUUAGAUAUGACAUAGAACACCAAUUGCGAAGGCAGCUUACUACACAGUUAUUGACACUGAGGCACGAAAGCGUGGGGAUCAAACAGG
rnacentral:rRNA from 1 species